rnacentral:rRNA from 1 species
GCCUGUCGUCAAGGUCGUGUCGUGAGAUGUUGGGUUAAGUCCCGCAACGAGCGCAGCCCUGGUCCUGUGGGGCAGCUAAUAGGCACUCUCAGGAGGGCGCCAGCGAUAAGCUGGAGGAAGGUGGGGAUGACGUCAAGUCAUCAUGGCCUUUAUGUCCAGGGCUACACACGUGCGACAAUGGACGGUACAGACCGCUGCAAACACGCGAGGGGGAGCAAAUCGGAAAAAACCGUUCUCAGUUCGGAUUGCAGGCUGCAACUCGCCUGCAUGAAGCUGGAAUCGCUAGUAAUGGCAUAUCAGAACGAUGCCGUGAAUACGUUCCCGGGCCUUGUACACACCGCCCGUCACAUCACGAAAGUGGAUUGUACUAGAAGUCUGCGCGCCAACCCGCAAGGGAGGCAGCGGCCCAAGGUAUGAUUCAUGAUUGGGGUGAAGUCGUAACAAGGUAGCCGUAGGAGAACCUGCGGCUGGAUCACCUCC